ACCCGGCCGACCCGGGCCUGUGGCCGGGCCGGGUCUAAGCAAAAAACAGGUUGGGAAUUGGCCCGGCCAAACCCGGUCGACCCGGAGGGUCGACCCGGGACCCGGCCGGCCCGGCCAAACCCGGCUGAGACCCGGGUUUAUUUUUUUUUAUUCUCAUGCUCGAAACGACGUCGUUUUGACCUUUUACAAUUAAAAGGCCAAAACGACAAGAGUAGAGAGACGAAUCACGAAUGCAUUGCAUUGCAAAGCAGAGAAGUGAGAAGAAGACCUAAUUAAUUUCAAGAAUUUGUCAAACCCAUUUCACUCUUAGUCGCGAAGAAGAGCAGAUGAGCAGAAGAAUCUUGAAUCCUUGAUCGCCGUUUCAAUUCUGAGCAUAAGGAGAGUAUAACAGUGGCAUCGAUUCUUCCCUCUGUUCAGUCUGUUGACCCAUCGGUUCUUCCCUCUGUUCCCUCUGUUGACUCAUCGGUUCUUCCCAUCGAUUGACCCAUUGGUUCUUCCCACAGAUAUGUAUCUCUGCUCUUUUAUUUUUCUGUUUGAUUGGCCCAUCGAGAAUACAUGUUCUUCCCACCGUA